GUCAGACUCACUGCAGCAGGCAGGCACAGGAGGAAGAUGAAGGGCCUGCAUAGCACUGCCACUGUCACUGUGACUGCACCAGUAUCUGACACCUCCAUUUCCUACCCAGUUUUGGUGUGUUUGCCUGGAAACAGUACUCAGGAUUUCCUCCUGGUUCAGAUCAUUUUCCAGGUAACAGGUGGGGUAGUGCUUGUAAGGACAAACAUUUGGGUUACUUCUUGUAGUCACUACAUGUUUGAAUGUUGCAGUUUCAAGCUUUCAAGUGAAAUUAGAUUUUCAUAGAAUCAUAAAAUGUUUUAUGUUGGAAAGGACCUUAAGAUCAUCUAGUUCCAACCCCCAUUUUCAUGCAACUUUAGGCAGGACUUCUGUAAGAUCACCUGUGCUGUCCCUUCAGCCCAGCCCACAUUUUGGGGCUUCCCCACCACCAGAAACAUGACUGAACCACGCUUGUGAAACUCCUGAAUAGGCAAGAGGCUUCCUUCUCUUCCUACAGAGUGAUCUUCACUAUGGCCUGAACUCAACAGGAGCUUUUUACACUCUAGUGACUGUGAUUUGCACUGCAAACCGUCCAGCACAGGGGCAGCCACAUUUUUCUCCAUGUUUUAGAAGUGUAGAUUUAUAAAGCCUUUCACAGAAAAGGUCAGUCAUGGAGAGAAUAAAUAUGUGCAUGUGGGUGGCAGGCAACAUCCAGAACAAUGCUACCAUUUGGUGGCCAAAGCAAGCCAAUACUGAAAGGAAGAAGCAAACUGCUAGCAGGGGCCACUACAAAGUA